rnacentral:lncRNA from 1 species
CUCUGGGAAGUGGCAUAUCCAGUACCUGCCGAGUUCUGGCACCUUCCAGGCUGAUGGAGCCCACUGUGCAUCAGGUGUCACUGUCUCCCUCACUGGGAGUUGCAGUGACUUGUCUGAGGAGAACUGAGAAGUCACUGAGCUGGAGUUAGAACCACCUCGUGACAACCCAAAGACUUGGGGUCCCCGUCUCAGUCUACAGGUGGGUCAGCAGGGUAACCUUACAGUUGAUUUCUUAAAUAGCCUUAUUGAGAUCAAGUCCACAUACCCUGCAAUUCACCCAUUUAAAGUGUACGAUUCAGUGGGUUUUACUAUAUCCAUAGAGUUGUUACACAUCCGCCACCACAACCAGUGUUAGAACUUUCUCGUCAUCUCAGAAAGGAACUCCACACUUCUUAGCUAUCACGCUCCCAUCCCCACCCCUCAGUCCUAAAUAGAGACCUUCUGUCUCUACUUCCCCUCUGAGCAUGUCAUAUAAACACAACAUGUAACGUGUGGCCUCUGGGCAAUUCUGACUAUUUCACCUUGUUAAUGCUUCCCGGUUUCAUCUGUGUUGUACGUGUCUCAGUACUUCAUUCCUUUCUGAGGCCAAAAAAUUUUCCAUUGUAUGAGCGCACCAUGUUUUUGUUUAUCCAUCCAUUAGUUGAUGGACAUUGGGUUGAUUCCACCUCUUUUAUUAUGAACAUUCGUGUAUAAUUUUUUUGUGUGGACAUAGGUUUUCAUUUCUCUUAGGUGCACCUAGUAGUAUCGCUGGGUCAUGUGAUAAUGGAGUGCUUAACUUUCUGAGGAACUGCUAGGCCAUUUUCCACCAUUGAACAUUCCCAUCAGAAGAAUCUGGAGCUCGCCAUCUCUUCCCCUCCUGUAGAUCUUUGUCUUUUUAAUCAGAGCCAUGUUUAUCAGAGUGACAUCUCCCUGAUGACACUCUUCAGCAUCUUUUCUUGUGCUUAUGAGAUAUUUGCAUAUCUUCUUUGGAGAAAUGUCUAUUUAGAUCUUUUGCCCAUUUUUAAAUGAAGUUGUCUUUUUACUAAUGAGUUGUAAGAGUUCCUUAUGUAUUCUAGAUAUAAGUCCCUUAUCAGAUACAUGAUUUGCAAAUAUUUUCUUCCAUUGUGUGGACCAUUUUUUUCCCCACAUUCUUGAUGGUGUCUAUUUAAGCACUAAAGUUUUAAAUUUAACUGAAGUUUAUCUAGUUUUUCUUUUGUGGCUUGUGCUUCUGGUAUCAUAGACUUCCCAGUUUUUUCAAUCAGUAUUUAACAUGGAUAAUUAUGACUACACCAAAACAGUCAUUUGGUUUUUUAAAAAUCUACUGAAUGAGCAAUCAUAAGGAUUUAAGAAACUGCUCAAGAACUGUUGAGUUUUUGUGUUUUCAAGCCCAGACUUUAAAAAAAAAAAAUUCUUUCAUUAUAUUUCACUUCAUUCCAAAAAUAAUUUGAUGCCACUUUUGAAAAUUCAAAUAAGGCAAAAUACUAUAAGUAAGGAAUUCUGGACAAAUUGAAGUAUGCAUUGAAGGCAAAUCCAAGGGUAAAUUAAUCUGUAGAAUUGCAUACAUAGAGUUUCCCAGGGGCCAAGGCAAAGAGGAGAAUGCAGUUAUUUAUGAUAUAUGCAGAACCAUGACAUGGAAACCACCUCGUAAUGUAGAGGAGGCUUGGCUUUCUCCGGCACAGAGGCCAGAAAUAAAUUUCUCCCCUGGCUCCUCUUAAAUGGAAAUGCAUUAGAUUUCUCAGUUAAAACAGCUCACAUAUCUUGUCCCUGAUACACAAUCUUUUCACAGCCCAAUUUUCUUCUCUCUCUCUCUCUUUUUUUUUU